AAGCGUAUGGCGCAAUGGAUAACGCGUUUGCCUACGGAGCAGAAGAUUAGGAAGACAGGUUCGAAUCCUGCCGUGUUCG